CGAUGCCGCGAGGCGGAGNGGACCCCACGAAAAUGGCGCCCCAGUUCGGACUGCAGCCUGCAACCCGGCUGCACGAAGCCGGAAUCGCUAGUGAUCGCGGAUCAGAAUGCCGCGGUGAAUACGUUCCCGGGUCUUGUACACACCGCCCGUCACACCAUGGGAGUCGGAAAUGCCCGAAGUCAGUGGCCCAACCGCGAGGGGGAGCUGCCGAAGGCAGGUCCGGUGACUGGGGUGAAGUCGUAACAAGGUACC
rnacentral:rRNA from 1 species